UCAGCUUUCCUUAGGGUUUGUGUAUUCAGUGUGGCCCAGGACAACCCUGCUUUGCCCGGUGUGGCCAGAGAAGCUGGAACCCCGGUGCUGAGAACUAGGGAUUUCCUCUGAAGCGGGGCGGGAAGCCAGUGCUUUGGGAAUGGCGUCAUCGCGUUUCCCUCGGUCCCCGUGCCAAGAACGAGGCGGUAGCCCGGAGAACUGAGGAGGAAGCCGUGGGUGGCAGGACCCAGUGAGGUGUCACAGAUCCCUGAGCAAGGGCUGGAGAGAUGACUUGGCGGUUAAGCGCACUGGCUGUUCUUCCAGAGGACCUGAGUUCAAUUCCCAGCAACCACAUGGUGGCUCCCAACCCUCUGUUUUAGGCUUGUUUCUAACUAGCUCUUAUAACUCAGCCCAUUAAUAUUAAUUUACUCCCUGCCCCAUGGCUUUGUUACGUCAUCUCUGUACCGCCCAUGCUGCUUCCUCUGCAUCUCCUGGCAUCCCUGCCUCCUUCUUCCCAGCAUCCUCUCUGCCCUGGAAAUCCUGCCUAGAUAUUGGCAGUUCAGCCUAAGCUAUCAGCUGAGCUUUCAUAAUUAGUAACAAGUAUCUGUGUUGUGCUUUUGUUUUUGUUUUUGUGAGGUGGUGAUCCGAAGAAAAAUCUGUCUAUACUCCAGAUUUAGGAGCUAGAGGCAGGAGAAUCAGAAAUUCAAGGUCAGCCACAACUGAAUAGUAAGUUUAGGGCCAGUCUGAAGGAAUCAAGACCCUAUCUUUAAAAAACAAAAACAAAAACAAAAAACAGGGAGUUGGGGUUCUUGAAAGAUGACUCUGUGGUUAAAAGCACUGCUGCUCUUACAGAGGACCUGGGCUCAGUUCUCAGCACCCAGACGCUGGUUCUCAAUAUCUAUAACUCCAGUCCCAGGGGUCCAGCCUGCUUUGUGACACGCAUACACGAAUGCCAGCAAAACACUUAUGCACAGAACACAAAAUAAACAAAUAUAGAAUAGCACAUUAUCAUCGAUAAUAACUUCACUGUACAAUAAAACAUCAGAACUUGGGUCAUUUUACUUUAACAUUAUUUUUGCGGCGUCUGGGAAUGAAUCCUAAGGCCGUUUGCACACUACGUAGGCAUUUUACUUCUGAGUGCAUUCCUCAACCCAUUAAAUAAUAUCUUCACAUUUA